UCCCUAGUGGCCCAGUGGUUAGGGCUUGGGGCUUUCACUGAUGUGGUCCAGGUUCAAUCCCUGGUCAGGGAA
rnacentral:tRNA from 1 species